GACGAACGCUGGCGGCGUGCUUAACCAUGCAAGUCGAACGGUAAGGCUCCAGCUUGCUGGGGUACACGAGUGGCGAACGGGUGAGUAACACGUGGGUGACCUGCCCUGCACUUCGGGAUAAGCCUGGGAAACUGGGUCUAAUACCGGAUAGGACCGCACCGUGAGGGUGUGGUGGAAAGUUUUUUCGGUGUGGGAUGGGCCCGCGGCCUAUCAGCUUGUUGGUGGGGUAAUGGCCUACCAAGGCGGCGACGGGUAGCCGGCCUGAGAGGGUGGACGGCCACAUUGGGACUGAGACACGGCCCAGACUCCUACGGGAGGCAGCAGUGGGGAAUAUUGCACAAUGGGCGGAAGCCUGAUGCAUCGACGCCGCGUGAGGGAUGACGGCCUUCGGGUUGUAAACUCCUUUCACCAUCUACGAAGGGUUUCUGACGGUAGAUGGAGAAGAAGCACCCGCUAACUACUGCGCCAUCAGCCGCGGUAAUACCUAGGGGGGCAAGCGUUUUCAGAAAUUAAAAGGCGUAAAGAGCUAGUAAGGGGUUUGUCGCGUCGUCUGUGAAAUUCCGGGGCUUAAACUCCGGGCGUGCAGGCGAUACGGGCAUAACUUGAGUACUGUAGGGGAGACUGGAAUUCCUGGUGUAGCGGUGAAAUGCGCAGAUAUCAGGAGGAACACCGGUGGCGAAGGCGGGUCUCUGGGCAGUAACUGACGCUGAGGAGCGAAAGCAUGGGGAGCGAACAGGAUUAGAUACCCUGGUAGUCCAUGCCGUAAACGGUGGGCGCUAGGUGUGGGUUUCCUUCCACGGGAUCCGUGCCGUAGCUAACGCAUUAAGCGCCCCGCCUGGGGAGUACGGCCGCAAGGCUAAAACUCAAAGGAAUUGACGGGGGCCCGCACAAGCGGCGGAGCAUGUGGAUUAAUUCGAUGCAACGCGAAGAACCUUACCUGGGCUUGACAUAUACAGGAUCGCGCCAGAGAUGGUGUUUCCCUUGUGGCUUGUACACAGGUGGUGCAUGGUUGUCGUCAGCUCGUGUCGUGAGAUGUUGGGUUAAGUCCCGCAACGAGCGCAACCCUUGUCUUAUGUUGCCAGCACGUUGUGGUGGGGACUCGUAAGAAACUGCCGGGGUUAACUCGGAGGAAGGUGGGGAUGACGUCAAAUCAUCAUGCCCCUUAUGUCCAGGGCUUCACACAUGCUACAAUGGUCGGUACAGUGGGUUGCCAGUCCGUGAGGGCGAGCUAAUCCCGCAAAGCCGGUCUCAGUUCGGAUCGGGGUCUGCAACUCGACCCCGUGAAGUCGGAGUCGCUAGUAAUCGCAGAUCAGCAACGCUGCGGUGAAUACGUUCCCGGGCCU
rnacentral:rRNA from 1 species